CAGGUCAGUGUUUAGUUAUUGAAUGGUAGUUUCUACGCUCUUGGGCCUUUUAGUGUUUUGGGAGACCAAAUACUCCUUUGAUUUCUACCAGUCUCCUAACACUUUAAACAUACUGACAUAAAGUUUUGAGAUUCAUGUGGAUGACUGAAGUAAUCUUUUCUUCAGACACCUGAUUUUGAUUUGGUAGUUUCAGGCAGAAGCACUGAGGUGUGCUGAUCAGUGACUAUCCAGCAAUACCAAACAGAUCUCAGAAACCUCCACACAGGGAUCUCUGUAACUUUAUGCAGAUACAACCAUGGAAGUGUUUUAGGAAGUGUGACAUGCACAUGUGCUGACAGCUUAAUUCCACUAGAGAAUAGCCAAGGACUUCAUGGUUAAUGGAGAAGAACAAGAUUCUUUUCUUUGUCCUUUUCUGGAAGAGGUUCAGGAGAGCUCUGCCUAAACAGACAAAAAGUUUUGAAGAGAUCUGGCUGCAGUUGCAUAGUCCUGCCAAAAUGUUAAGCUCAUGAAGAUUUCCAGGUUUGCUGAAAUUCCUUUUGCUGGUGUAUAAUAACCAUACCUGAUAAAUAACAUUUUUAAUGUAUUUUUAAAGUGACUAAGUCACUAAAGUGACUAAGUUGUGGAACAACAAAGAUGGGAAAAAUUCCAAAG
rnacentral:lncRNA from 1 species